UACGGAGGGUGCGAGCGUUAAUCGGAAUUACUGGGCGUAAAGGGUGCGUAGGUGGUUGACUAAGUUAUUUGUAAAAUUCCCGGGCUCAACCUGGGGUGGUCAGAUAAGACUGGUUGACUCGAGUAAGGGAGAGGGUAGUGGAAUUUCCGGUGUAGCGGUGAAAUGCGUAGAGAUCGGAAGGAACACCAGUUGCGAAGGCGGCUACCUGGCCUAUUACUGACACUGAGGCACGAAAGCGUGGGGAGCAAACAGGAUUAGAUACCCUGGUAGUCCACGCCGUAAACGAUGUCAACUAGCUGUUUCUCAUAUAAAGAUGGGGGGUGGCGCAGCUAACGCGAUAAGUUGACCGCCUGGGGAGUACGGUCGCAAGAUUA
rnacentral:rRNA from 1 species